UACGUAGGGUGCGAGCGUUGUUCGGAUUUACUGGGCGUAAAGGGCGCGUAGGCGGCGCGACAAGUCACUUGUGAAAUCUCCGGGCUUAACCCGGAGCGGCCAAGUGAUACUGUAGUGCUAGAGUGCGGAAGGGGCUACUGGAAUUCUCGGUGUAGCGGUGAAAUGCGUAGAUAUCGAGAGGAACACCUGCGGCGAAGGCGGGUAGCUGGGCCGACACUGACGCUGAGGCGCGAAAGCCAGGGGAGCGAACGGG
rnacentral:rRNA from 1 species